CUCCCUCGCUGCUGACCCCAGGUUCGAUAGUGCCAAUUAGACACCACCUCGCCAAGAACCAACUUCGAUGAAGCGACGGGCGGUGUGUGCAAGG
rnacentral:rRNA from 1 species